UACGAAGGGGGCUAGCGUUGCUCGGAAUCACUGGGCGUAAAGGGUGCGUAGGCGGGUCUUUAAGUCCGGGGGGAAAUCCUGGAGCUCGACUCCAGAACUGCCUUUGAUACUGAGGAUCUUGAGUUCGGGAGAGGUGAGUGGAACUGCGAGUGUAGAGGUGAAAUUCGUAGAUAUUCGCAAGAACACCAGUGGCGAAGGCGGCUCACUGGCCCGAUACUGACGCUGAGGCACGAAAGCGUGGGGAGCAAACAGG
rnacentral:rRNA from 1 species